rfam:Vitis vinifera, whole genome shotgun sequence of line PN40024, unoriented chromosome 14, chr14
AUCCCAGAUAAACAGUUUACAUUUAUUUGAUUCAUGGGAGGCAGAAAUUGAUAAUGGUAGUUCGCUGUGGCACCUUUUGUUUCCCAGGAGGUGCUCUAAUAGUACCUCACCGUACAUUC